rnacentral:rRNA from 1 species
CAUGUCCUUUUGAUUAUAAUUUAAGGUCUAAUCUGCCCACUGAGUAAUUAAAUGGCCGCAGUAUUUUGACUGUGCUAAGGUAGCAUAAUAAAUAGUUUUUUAAUUGAAAGCUGGAAUGAAUGAUUGGAUAAGACAAGUUCUGUCUCAAGAUUAAUUUUAAUGAAAUUUAUUUUUAAGUUAAAAAGCUUAAAUUUAGUUGAAAGACGAGAAGACCCUAUAGAGUUUAAUUUAAAAUUUUAUUUAAUUAAAAAUUUUUUUAUUUAUUGGAUAAGGUUUUAAAUUUUGUUGGGGUGACCGAGAAAUUAAUUUAACUUUCUUUUUUUUUUUCAUUGAUUUAUGUUUUUUUGAUCCAUUAAUAAUGAUUAAAAGAAUAAAUUACCUUAGGGAUAACAGCGUAAUUUUUUUAAAGAGUUCUAAUCGAAAAAAGAGAUUGCGACCUCGAUGUUGGAUUAAGGUUAGACUUUGGUGCAGAAGCUAAAGUGUCUGAGUCUGUUCGACUUUUAAAACCUUACAUGAUCUGAGU